rnacentral:rRNA from 1 species
UACGGAGGGGGUUAGCGUUGUUCGGAAUUACUGGGCGUAAAGCGCGCGUAGGCGGAUUAGAAAGUUGGGGGUGAAAUCCCGGGGCUCAACCCCGGAACUGCCUUUAAAACUACUAGUCUAGAGUUCGAGAGAGGUGAGUGGAAUUCCGAGUGUAGCGGUGAAAUGCGUAGAUAUUCGGAGGAACAUCAAUGGCGAAGGCAGCUUCCUGGGCCGAAAUUGACGCUGAGGUGCGAAAGCGUGGGUAGCAAACAGG